GGAUGAACGCUGGCGGCGUGCCUAAUACAUGCAAGUCGAGCGAACAGAUAAGGAGCUUGCUCCUUUGAAGUUAGCGGCGGACGGGUGAGUAACACGUGGGUAACCUACCUAUAAGACUGGGAUAACUUCGGGAAACCGGAGCUAAUACCGGAUAACAUUUAGAACCGCAUGGUUCUAAAGUGAAAGAUGGUUUUGCUAUCACUUAUAGAUGAACCCGCGCCGUAUUAGCUAGUUGGUAAGGUAACGGCUUACCAAGGCGACGAUACGUAGCCGACCUGAGAGGGUGAUCGGCCACACUGGAACUGAGACACGGUCCAGACUCCUACGGGAGGCAGCAGUAGGGAAUCUUCCGCAAUGGGCGAAAGCCUGACGGAGCAACGCCGCGUGAGUGAUGAAGGGUUUCGGCUCGUAAAACUCUGUUAUUAGGGAAGAACAAAUGUGUAAGUGACUGUGCACAUCUUGACGGUACCUAAUCAGAAAGCCACGGCUAACUACGUGCCAGCAGCCGCGGUAAUACGUAGGUGGCAAG
rnacentral:rRNA from 1 species